GACGAACGCUGGCGGCGUGCUUAACACAUGCAAGUCGAACGAAGUGGCGAACGGGUGAGUAACGCGUAAUCAACCUGCCCUUCAGGGGGGGACAACAGUUGGAAACGACUGCUAAUACCGCAUACAGAAUGAGGGGAUUGCGUCGGAUUAGCUAGUCGGAGGGGUAACGGCCCACCAAGGCGAUGAUCAGUAGCCUGUCUGAAGGGAUGAAUGUCCACAUUGGGACUUGGACACGGCCCAGACUCCUACGGGAGGCAGCAGUGGGGAAUCUUCCGCAAUGGACGAAAGUCUGACGGAUCAAAGCCGCGUGAGUGAUGACGGCCUUCGGGUUGUAAAGCUCUGUUAAUCGGGACGCGGUACCGGAAUAGAAAGCCACGGCUAACUACGUGCCAGCAGCCGCGGUAAUUC
rnacentral:rRNA from 1 species